rnacentral:rRNA from 1 species
GACGAACGCUGGCGGCGUGCCUAAUACAUGCAAGUAGAACGCUGAAGGAGGAGCUUGCUCUUCUGGAUGAGUUGCGAACGGGUGAGUAACGCGUAGGUAACCUGCCUGGUAGCGGGGGAUAACUAUUGGAAACGAUAGCUAAUACCGCAUAAGAGUAGAUGUUGCAUGACAUUUGCUUAAAAGGUGCAAUUGCAUCACUACCAGAUGGACCUGCGUUGUAUUAGCUAGUUGGUGAGGUAACGGCUCACCAAGGCAACGAUACAUAGCCGACCUGAGAGGGUGAUCGGCCACACUGGGACUGAGACACGGCCCAGACUCCUACGGGAGGCAGCAGUAGGGAAUCUUCGGCAAUGGACGGAAGUCUGACCGAGCAACGCCUCGUGAGUGAAGAAGGUUUUCGGAUCGUAAAGCUCUGUUGUAAGAGAAGAACGAGUGUGAGAGUGGAAAGUUCACACUGUGACGGUAUCUUACCAGAAAGGGACGGCUAACUACGUGCCAGCAGCCGCGGUAAUACGUAGGUCCCGAGUUUGUCCGGAUUUAUUGGGCGUAAAGCGAGCGCAGGCGGUUAGAUAAUUUGGAAGUUUAAGGUGUGGCUUAACCAUAGUACGCUUUUGGAUACUGUUUAACUUGAUUGCAAGAUGGGAGAGUGGAAUUUCCUGUGUAGCGUUGAAAUGCUUAUAUUUAUGGAGGAACACCGGUGUGUUGAUCGGCUCUCUGGUGUGUAUGUGAGUCUUAGUGCUGAAAGCGGGGAGCAAGUGUGAUAUGAUGUGGGGUGUGUGUGUGGUAGUAUCGGUGUGUGGUUAUGCGUUGGUGUGUCCUGUGUGUGUUGAGGAAAAAAUAUGAGAGAGUGUUGUGUGUUAUUGUGUGUUGUUA